CACAUUCCCCACCAGAUUCAUCUUUACGUUCUAAGCCUGAUCACAGUGUUCAUAAAUGUUCGUUUUCUACGGUUUUCGGGCGAUGUCUGAGGCCUCCUGCAGCCUAGUUGGAACCUCGUUUUAUAAGUGCCUCACGACGAUAAAAGCAGCAGCUUCCAGAUACAAUCAGUGGAUUUAAAUGGAGGGGAAGGAAUGAGACCUGUAGAUGCAGCAGCAGGAGGAGGAGAGGAGAAGAUUCUGGCUCUUGCUCCGAUCUAUAGCCAAACCCCUUGCUGCCAAGAAGCUGCAAACAGAAACCGAAAGCAUACUGGACACAGAAGUAUGAAUACAGAUUUUAUCGUAGAAUUUGUUUUUCAGUUAUUUAUUGAUUUGAAAAACUCGAGCAUCGUGUUGGGAUUACAGAGACUUUGGAUUCAAAACUCCUGGUAAUGAUUUAUUAUUGUAGUCAA